GAGGGUAUAGCUCAAGUGGUAGGGCGCAUGCUUAGCGUGCAUGAGGUCCUGGGUUCAAUCCCUGCUACAAUCA
rnacentral:tRNA from 1 species